rnacentral:rRNA from 1 species
CCUACGGGGGGCUGCAGUGGGGAAUAUUGGACAAUGGGCGAAAGCCUGAUCCAGCCAUGCCGCGUGUGUGAAGAAGGCCUUCGGGUUGUAAAGCACUUUCAGUGGGGAAGAAAGCCUUGGGGCUAAUACCCUCGAGGAAGGACAUCACCCACAGAAGAAGCACCGGCUAACUCCGUGCCAGCAGCCGCGGUAAUACGGAGGGUGCGAGCGUUAAUCGGAUUACUGGGCGUAAAGCGCGCGUAGGCGGUCUGAUAAGCCGGUUGUGAAAGCCCCGGGCUCAACCUGGGAACGGCAUCCGGAACUGUCAGGCUAGAGUGCAGGAGAGGAAGGUAGAAUUCCCGGUGUAGCGGUGAAAUGCGUAGAGAUCGGGAGGAAUACCAGUGGCGAAGGCGGCCUUCUGGACUGACACUGACGCUGAGGUGCGAAAGCGUGGGUAGCAAACAGGAUUAGAUACCCGUGUAGUC